CAGCAGCCACGGUAAUACGAAGGGUGCAAGCGUUAAUCGGAAUUACUGGGCGUAAAGCGUGCGUAGGCGGUGAGUUAAGUCUGCUGUGAAAUCCCCGGGCUCAACCUGGGAAUGGCAGUGGAUACUGGCUCGCUAGAGUGUGUCAGAGGAUGGUGGAAUUCCCGGUGUAGCGGUGAAAUGCGUAGAGAUCGGGAGGAACAUCAGUGGUGAAGGCGGCCAUCUGGGACAACACUGACGCUGAGGCACGAAAGCGUGGGGAGCAAACAGGAUUAGAUACCCGCGUAGUCCCUGUCUCUUAUAC
rnacentral:rRNA from 1 species